AAGGGCUUGAUCUGCACUUGCCUCCAAAAUGUUUUUGAUCUUGGUCAAACUGCUCUGCUUGGUGGAAGAUGAGGAGAAGGCUGGCAGAAAAACUUUCUGUUAAUCCAGGCCCUUCUACAAAAUCUGCAAUGAGCUCUAUCAGUUUGGAGAGCCCCUCAAGAGCAGGAAUUUCUCAAGAUUGGAAGAUUGGACUUGCCAUGCCAAUAGUACAGCUGACAGCGUGGAGGGGCAGUGGCUUCCUCAC